UGGGGAAUAUUGCACAAUGGGCGCAAGCCUGAUGCAGCCAUGCCGCGUGUGUGAAGAAGGCCUUCGGGUUGUAAAGCACUUUCAGCGAGGAGGAAGGUGGUGAGCUUAAUACGCUCAUCAAUUGACGUUACUCGCAGAAGAAGCACCGGCUAACUCCGUGCCAGCAGCCGCGGUAAUACGGAGGGUGCAAGCGUUAAUCGGAAUUACUGGGCGUAAAGCGCACGCAGGCGGUUUGUUAAGUCAGAUGUGAAAUCCCCGGGCUCAACCUGGGAACUGCAUUUGAAACUGGCAAGCUAGAGUCUCGUAGAGGGGGGUAGAAUUCCAGGUGUAGCGGUGAAAUGCGUAGAGAUCUGGAGGAAUACCGGUGGCGAAGGCGGCCCCCCUGGACGAAGACUGACGCUCAGGUGCGAAAGCGUGGGGCAGCAAACAGGAUUAGAUACCCUGGUAGUCCAGCGCUGUAAAACGAUGUCGAUUUGGAGGUUGUGCCCCUUGAGGCGUGGCUUCCGGAGCUAACGCGUUAAAUCGACCG
rnacentral:rRNA from 1 species